rnacentral:rRNA from 1 species
UACGGAGGGGGACUAGCGUUGUUCGGAAUUACUGGGCGUAAAGCGCACGUAGGCGGAUUUGUAAGUCAGGGGUGAAAUCCCGGGCUCAACCUCGGAACCGCCUUUGAUACUGCAAAUCUCGAGUCGGAAGAGGGUGAGUGGAAUUCCUAGUGUAGAGGUGAAAUUCGUAGAUAUUAGGAAGAACACCAGUGGCGAAGGCGGCUCACUGGUGCCCGGUACUGACGCUGAGGUGCGAAAGCGUGGGGAGCAAACAGGG